AUUUUGUUUCGUAUGAUUUAUUGAUUUAGUUUUUGCAAGUUAUGUGUGUCAAGGUUAUUGCAACAUCAAUUAUGAAAAGAACAAAUUUUGUACAAGUUAUCUCCAAAUAAAGAGAGAAAUGAAGGCAAUGACAUAGUCAUGUGUGGGCCCAUAUCAGGCCAUGCAGGGGAAAUCACCCAGAGACAAGACAGGUUUAGUUAGUACUAGUGUUAUAUUGACAAGAGUUACUUGCCCUGCCGUCUAACUACAUUUUUAAAAACGUAAAGAAUGGCUGCCAAGGUGGUCGUACAUGUGUGUGUGUACAAAUGACUGGAAAAAAAUGAACUAAAAACAAAACAAGUUAAAAACAUGUUUACAUAAUCGAAUUAGAUCAUUCUAAAAGAAAAGGGGGGG